AUGAAAAACAAGAAAGAUUAGUAUUAAGAAUAAACUCCCGACUCUGCCUUUAGCCUCCUAAAUGAAAAGGUAGAUAGAACAGGUCUUGUUUGCAAAAUAAAUUCAAGACCUACUUAUCUACCAACAGUA
rnacentral:snoRNA from 12 species